rnacentral:rRNA from 1 species
GACGAACGCUGGCGGCGUGCUUAACACAUGCAAGUCGAACGGAAAGGCCCUGCUUUUGUGGGGUGCUCGAGUGGCGAACGGGUGAGUAACACGCGAGUAACCUGCCCUUGACUUUGGGAUAACUUCAGGAAACUGGGGCUAAUACCGGAUAGGAGCUCCUGCUGCAUGGUGGGGGUUGGAAAGUUUCGGCGGUUGGGGAUGGACUCGCGGCUUAUCAGCUUGUUAGUGGGGUAGUGGCUUACCAAGGCUUUGACGGGUAGCCGACCUGAGAGGGUGACCAGCCACAAUGGGACUAAGAGACGGAGCAGUAUGCAACGGGAGGCAACGGUCGAGAGUAUGGCGCAGUGAGGGGGAGCCAGAUACAGCAGCGCCGCGUGCGGGAUAACCGCCUUCGAGUUAUAAACCGCUUUCGCCUGUGACGUGGCGGGAGUGACGGUAAUGAAUAAGAAAGCACCGGCUAACUACGUG